rnacentral:rRNA from 1 species
UACGUAGGCAGCAAGCGUUGUUCGGAGUUACUGGGCGUAAAGAGUGCGUAGGCGGUGUCGAAAGUUUGGCGUGAAAUCUCCCGGCUUAACUGGGAGGGUGCGCCGAAAACUGCGAUGCUGGAGUGUGGGAAAGGCAAGCGGAAUUCCUGGUGUAGCGGUGAAAUGCGUAGAUAUCUGGAGGAACACCGGUGGCGAAGGCGGCAUCCUGGACCAAUACUGACGCUGAGGAGCGAAAGCCAGGGGAGCAAACGGG